UUAAGUACUAUUAAGCCAUUGGGUUAAAGUAAAAGCUAAGUUUCAAAAUCCAAUUGGGUCCAUGUUGGUGGGUCAAGUCAAGAGCAUCUACCUUUAAGCAUAUGGGUAUGCUUAUGUGCAUUUGAGGCAUGCUGUAGCAGAUGGCUUCAUGCUCACUCAGGUUUAACCUAAAGGACACAUUUGCACAAGUGUAGGCACAUUCUAGGGUUUCAUUUUUUAAUAAGUCAACUUGGGAAACAUGAGAGUUUCGACAGCUUCGAACCCCAAACAACUGAGUCUUCACGGCGACGUUUCAGAGCUUGUUUUUUACCUGCAUCAUGCAUGGCUGCUUUGUUCAACUUCCUAGACGGGGGAUAUCCAAUGUUGCCUCAUCAGCUAUGGGGGUAUGCUCCCUGAAAAGUAAAUGGUUGGAACCAUAAUGUGUUUAUUAGAUCCAUGACAGUGUAGUUGGAACCAAUGCUGCCUAAUUUCUCACUAAAUAAUUUGGCAUGGAUCAAGAUCACUCAUCGUAGAGCUUAACCAAUAAUCACUCAUAUUUAAAUACAUAAUCUUAUUUAUUGAUAGCCCGACAACACAAUUUUAACGUCCCUUGUUAUGAAACAUUCCAAUAUCGAAUUAUUAAUUACUUAACGUCCCUUGUUAAGUAAAUCCAGA
rnacentral:lncRNA from 1 species